AUUGAACGCUGGCGGCAUGCCUAACACAUGCCAGUCGAACGGAGUGGCGCACGGGUGAGUCAUGUCUGGGACACUGCCUGAUGGAGGGGGAUAACUACUGGAAACGUGCGCUAAUACCGCAUACUAUCAGAUUAGCCUAGGUCGGCUUAGCUAGUUGGUGGGGUAAAGGCCUACCAAGGCGACGAUCCGUAACUGGUCUGAGCGGAUGAUCAGUAAAACUGGAACUGUGACACGGUCCAGACUCCAACGGGAGGAAGCAGUGGGGAAUAUUGGAAAAUGGGCGAAAGCCUGACCCAGCCAUGCCGCGUGUGUGAAGAAGGUCUUCGGACUGUAAAGCACGUUAAGUUGGGAGGCGGUACCAACAGAAUAAGCACCGGCUAACUUCGUGCCAGCAGCCGCGGUAAUAC
rnacentral:rRNA from 1 species